rnacentral:rRNA from 1 species
AACGUAGGACACAAGCGUUAUCCGGAGUUACUGGGCGUAAAGCGCGUGUAGGCGGCUUCGCAAGUCGGAUGUGAAAUCCCACGGCUCAACCGUGGAAGUGCAUUCGAAACUGCAAGGCUAGAGUCCUGGAGAGGAAGGUGGAAUGCUUGGUGUAGAGGUGAAAUUCGUAGAUAUCAAGCGGAACACCGGUGGCGAAGGCGGCCUUCUGGACAGUGACUGACGCUGAGACGCGAAAGCGUGGGGAGCAAACAGG